GUACAGCAUCCCUACACAACAAAGAGGUGAAGUUAGUGAGGUACAGCAUCCCUACACAACACUGGGAGACGUCAUUGAGGUACAGUGUCCCUACACAACAAAGAGGUGAAGUUAGUGAGGUUCCUACACAACACUGGGAGACGUCAUUGAGGUACAGUGUCCCUACACAACAAAGAGGUGAAGUUAGUGAGGUUCCUAUACAACACUGGGAGACGUCAUUGAGGUACAGUGUCCCUACACAACAAAGAGGUGAAGUUAGUGAGGUUCCUACACAACACUGGAAGACGUCAUUGAGGUACAGUGUCCCUACACAACAAAGAGGUGAAGU